rnacentral:lncRNA from 1 species
CAAACAAACAAGGGCUGGGGACGCAGCUCAGUGGUAAGGCACCCCUGGGUUUAAUCGGCAGAACCAAAAAACAUAAAAUAAAAUAAAUCCCCAGGUCACAAGUUUCACUGGGCCAUGCCCACAGGUCUUAAUGUGCCUGGCUGUCCCUGUACUUAAAAAUCUCACUCGAUUUCUUAUGACAUAAUGUGUGUGGGGGGAACCACCCCUCCUGGCCCCACGGACGCUGUUGUCCUUUAUCUUAGGUAUCACAUUUGGAGGACCCUGUGUACGAAUGGCCUUAAGGGUAAUAUCAGGGCGGAAACCACCAGGCCUUCCAUCCUGACCCUGAGAUGCAAGAUGUCCCUAAGAAACAUGGUAACAGCUGACAGGGACCCAAAAGGCGAGCAGAAGCUCCCCAAAUUGAUAUAAAUAAUAGAGCAAAUGAGCCGACAUUCAGCCAGUCGACACUCAGCCAGCCGACACUGCUGCACACAAGCCUGAGAGUGUGAUGAGGACCUGGACUGACACCCCAACUCUUCUCAUCUGCCUCGUCCUCUGCAUCGCACUCACCACUCUCAAACUCCACAGCAGCCUCUGGACUCUGGUGAGAAAAGGACUUCUCCUUAGGACCCUCACCUCAGCCAGCUGCCAACCUCACCCCCGGAGAAGCAUCUGUGGGCUCCUGACCUGGUCUCUGUGGUCUGAGUGCGUGUGCAUCUGCUGGACUUAAGGCCUCAGAUUGAGACUUUAAAUCUGGCACAAGCUCAGCAUGCAGAGGGGAUGUCUGCAAUAGGUCUGUCAUGAGGAAGUGCAUUUGCAGUGCUCAGAGUUAACUUAGAAUGGUUUAAUUAGUUAUGUCUGUUGAGUGCGCACCAUUAAGGAUUGUCCCCUUUUGAUUAAGAACCUAUUGA